CGGGUGAGUAAUGCCUAGGAAAUUGCCCUGAUGUGGGGGAUAACCAUUGGAAACGAUGGCUAAUACCGCAUAAUACCUACGGGUCAAAGAGGGGGACCUUCGGGCCUCUCGCGUCAGGAUAUGCCUAGGUGGGAUUAGCUAGUUGGUGAGGUAAUGGCUCACCAAGGCGACGAUCCCUAGCUGGUCUGAGAGGAUGAUCAGCCACACUGGAACUGAGACACGGUCCAGACUCCUACGGGAGGCAGCAGUGGGGAAUAUUGCACAAUGGGCGCAAGCCUGAUGCAGCCAUGCCGCGUGUGUGAAGAAGGCCUUCGGGUUGUAAAGCACUUUCAGUCGUGAGGAAGGUAGUGUAGUUAAUAGCUGCAUUAUUUGACGUUAGCGACAGAAGAAGCACCGGCUAACUCCGUGCCAGCAGCCGCGGUAAUACGGAGGGUGCGAGCGUCAAUCGGAAUUCCUGGUCGUUAAGCGCAUGCCCGUGGU
rnacentral:rRNA from 1 species